GACGAACCGUGCGAACGUUGUUCGGAAUCACUGGGCUUAAAGGGCGCGUAGGCGGGCUGCCAAGUCCGUAGUGAAAUCCCCCGGCUCAACCGGGGAAUGGCCUCGGAUACUGGCGGUCUUGAGGGAGGUAGGGGCGUGCGGAACUGUAGGUGGAGCGGUGAAAUGCAUAGAUACCAUCCAGAACCCCGAUUGCGAAGGCAGCUGCCUAGACUGUAACUGACGCUGAGGCACGAAAGCGUGGGGAGCGAACAGG
rnacentral:rRNA from 1 species